GUUUACUCUUUUCAGAAAGAGACUAUUUUUCAUUAGAUCAAUGGAAAUGACAUUGCUUUUGAAGGUUAGGGGUAAAAACACAGAUGUUCCUUGACACCUGUAUAAGUUUAUAAUAUUUUCAGCAAGUAAUUUACUCAUGUAUUCCUCCUUCCAGUUCUGUCGGGGACCUACUACCAGCCAGCUUUGUAUCAGCAGGCUUUCAAAAUGUAAGAACCGUUAUUAUCUCAUAGAUCAUACAAAAACAGGCUGAGAACCCGAUUUGACCUGUGGACCGUUACUCACUAAUCCCUGCUCUACAUCUUCACUGAGUAGAAGAAAAAAAGAACAUUUCCUGCUCCGUCUCAGAUGAAGUAUGGAGUGCUGCCGGAAAGCCUGGUUACAUCACAUCACUCUGGGAUCGUAGCAGUGACUGGGUCAGGAAGGGCCUGCGCGGGCCCAUCACACCCAGGUGGUUUCUAGGUCUCCAAAAUGAAUAUAUUUUAGGAAAAACAAUUAAAAAUAUAUGAGAAAAUAAUAGCUGAAGUAUAAAGCAAACUGAAAUACAGCAUGCUUCUAAGGGGUGCCUGGGUGGCUCAGUCGGUUAAGCGUCUGCCUUCAGCUCAGGUCAUGAUCCCGGAGUCCUGGGAUCG